rnacentral:miRNA from 1 species
CCACGGAUGUUUGAGCAUGUGC